UCAUUUACAGUCUUUAAUAAAUUUCAUCAAAUACCCCCAACAAAAAAUAAAUAAAAAAAAUACCUAAACUACCCUCCCUUACUUUUGCCUUACCUAUCUCUCUCACCUCUAUCCUGCCAAAAUAAGGGCCGUAGCAUUGUACAAGUAUGGUCAGGCAGUAGGGCUCCGACACUGCGUAAAGGGCAGUCCGGUAGUAGGACUCUGGUACUGUGUAAAGUGCGAUCCGACAAUAGGGCACCGGCACUGUAUAAAGUGUGGUUCGGCAGUUGCACAAGCAGUCUGGCAGUUGCAAAGGGCGGUUCGGCAAUAGUAAGUUGCAAAGGGCGGUUCGGCAAUAGAUGUUACUGGAUUCCAGGCUCUGGCACUAUGUAAAGGGCGGUUCGGCAGUACUCAAUUUCAGUCCAGUAAUUGUCUUAGGGCGGUCCGGCACUUGUACGCUCCGACAAUGUGAUGAUGCGCUUCGGCAAUGUGAUGAUGCUCUCCGGCAAUGUGUCAUUGGGG
rnacentral:lncRNA from 1 species